rnacentral:rRNA from 1 species
AUGUCAGCUGCCGAUGUGGCAUUCUUUUUGCAGAAACCCCCCGCACAGCGGCGCCCGGUCUGGAUCGAGGGGAGAAUCCAUCGAGCCCGAGCUCCCACUCGCAUCACCACGACCGCCGGAGCUGCCCCUGCUCGCACCGCCGCGGCCUCUGCUCGUGGCCUCCACCGUCUCCUUCGGGGCCUCUGCAGAACGGAAGCGCCACCCUCCCCCCUCUCCCCGUCCGAGCUCGACGCCACCUCCGCGCUCAUCCCGCGGCUCAUCUCCGAGGGCCAGGUCCCCGCCGCUGGCCGCCUCCUCUCCGCGGCGCUCCUCCUGCCCGGCUCCCCGGAGCGCCUCCCGUUCCCUCCGCUCGCGGAGCACCUCGCCUCCCUCCCCACGCCCACCCCGGCCUUCGCCCUGCUCACCGCGCUCCGCCACCACCCCGUCCGCCCCUCGCCGCUCCCGCUUGCCACCCCGCUCCUCGGCCACCUCCUCGCGAUGCGCCGCGCCCACGAGGCCGCCUCCGUGCUCCGCUGGCUCUGCCGCCCCGACUCCCCACGCCGGCCCGACGCCGCCACCUACGGCAUCGCCGUCGCCCGGUUCUGCAGGCUCGACCCCGGGAGCGCGCUCGUCGCCCUCGGCAAGAUGGCCUCCAACGGGGUCCCGCCCUCGCUGGAGCUGCAGGAGGCGGUGCGACUGCAGGACGCGAGGAUCGAGGAGGCGUGGGCGCUGGAGGAGGCUAUGCGGCCGCUGGAGUCCAAGAAGACGAGAACCAAGGCGGCGCGUCAAGAGAGAGAGCUUCGGGUGAGAGAGAGAGAAGAAAAAAUGGAAGGAGGAAGAGAAGGAGAGAGGCAGGGUGUGAGGACGGCCUGGUCCUAG